GUUUUUUAUUCGUUUGAGGUCGCAUAAAUUUGUGAUUGUGUUACGUGACACGAACGUCCAACUUCUCCAAUCAAAAGAUAUGUUUCGUUUUCAUCACGUGACAAAGUUGAGCUUUUCAUCUCCAAAAAGUGGAUCAUCGCCAAGUACGACCGAGAGAAGUACUAGAAGUACACGAAGGCCGACGGUUAUGGUGUCCGGUUCCGCAACGAUCGCGGAGUGUUCUAGCGAGACUAGAUUUGAAGAUGAAUUUCCAGAUUCAAAUUCGAUGCACAGUAACAGGUAGGUAUUGUCGAAAUUGUGCACCAGUUGUCAAUGGAAUGACAUGCUUGUUGUCUAGCAAUUAAACACUCACCCAACGAAUGAGAAAUAAAUCAACCUGAAUCUAUACAUUAUGACCAUUGCGA